UUUUUAUCUGGGAUAUUCUCCCCAGAAGAUAUUUUAAAAAUAACUUCUAUGACAAAAAAAAACAUUUUUUUACCCAAGUUACGAGAUCGUAAGCUCAAUAGAAAAGGAACCAAAGAAUUAAAUAAAACUAAAAUUCUUUUGAAAAGCCUUCCAAAUCUUGCAAUCGCACUUAUAAACAUUUUCAUCUUUCUCCACUUGUUAUACUUUCGUUUUACAUGAACGAAGUGGCAUAACCAUGUAAGUUGGUUUUGUCUGUUACAACAAAAACCCCUUCGUCGACCAUGCCUUGUCUAUUAAUAGAACAGUGUUGGCUUAUUUGUUCGGGAUAACAUAGUAUAUUGCUGUUGCAAAAUGGUCCCUUUAUUGUUGUUUUUAUAAAAACGUUUGUUCUUUAGUAUUAAGUACUUACCGAUACUUUAUAUUAAUAAACAUUAAGAUUAUUUAUAAAUGUGUUCUUUGGGGUUUAAGGAAAAAUGCAAUAUUGAACAGAUUGAUGAAGGCAACGAAAGUGAUUUACUUGAAGCAACGAACUCACCUUUAACAUUUUGAUUUAAACAAGUAUCUCCUAAUUCGAAUCAGGUUUCCUCUAGCGGCUAUCCGGUUAGGGAAACUGUCCACCCACCGAGAUUACCUCUCGCCAUGACACCCCUAUUCACAGGGUGCCCCAUAUUCGAUCCCUUCACUUACCCCUCUAACUCAUUCCUACCACCCUUUUAAAGAGUUUUAAGCCGAAUACAUCGCUAUCAAUUUAAAAAAUGAGUCUUAGUGAAAAUUAGAUGCACAUCAAAAACAAGUUAUUAACAAGAGAUCAAAACAAAAUACAUUGUAAAAAAUGGUUUUCUUGGUUUCAUUAAACCAUUAAUAUUCUUUAUUCUCUCUUCUUUCCAGGCAACCUCUUUAUUUUCAGGUUAUAUCUGGCGGCUGAUAAAGAUUAUUUAGGCUUGAUCUGGAGGCGGCUCUUCCCAAUGUGUCAAACAAUGCAGAUCGGGGCCGUACAAAUUCGUAACACUUGAGCUCAACCGCGAGAGGAAUCUUGUGCCCAAUGAAGUAAGUAGACACUUAACUGCUUGUUUUCCCUUCUACUAACUUUUACUCGUUUUCUCUUUUCUUUCUAUGCAAUAUUCACCGAAUUUAACUGAUUUGUCGUCAUCCGUUCUGCCGUCCAAGUUAAGAGUACAAUGUCUUUGGGAAUUAUACCAGGUGUAAAGUUUCCGGGUUAUUACACCGAUAGGCCAACAAUCGAUACCUCAACAAUUACCUGCUGUCAUCAAGAGAGAUUGAUCGCUAAGCUAGAAGAAGCAAGAAGCUAAACUUUGCCACAACAAAAAGAAUUGUUUUAACAAAUAAAUACAUAACAAGUGUUUUACAAGUGCCUUAACCACCAGUGCCUUGUUAGCAACACCUUAACCCUCUAUAAGACGCACCCACAAAGCCAACUAUCCUGCCGACAUCCUUAUCAAGGUAUAGGAGGGAAAAAGUACAAAAUUCAAUAAAUUAAUUUUGAUGCAAACCUGCUUUGUAUGUGUUACCUAUAACAAGAAACUUUAUUUGGCAACUCUAAACUUUCUCGAUCUGGCAAAUCUAUAAUCUUUUGUGAAUGGCAACAAGCGUUGUCGGUGAGUACAUGCAAAUGGAAAGAAAA